rnacentral:rRNA from 1 species
UACGUAGGGGGCAAGCGUUGUCCGGAUUUAUUGGGCGUAAAGAGCGUGUAGGCGGUUUGGUAGGUCCGUUGUGAAAACUCGGAGGCUCAACCUCGAGACGCCGAUGGAAACCAUCAGACUAGAGUCCGGAAGAGGAGAGUGGAAUUCCUGGUGUAGCGGUGAAAUGACGCAGAUAUCAGGAAGAACACCCGUGGCUAAGGCGGCUCUCUAGUACGGUACUGACGCUGAGACGCGAAAGCGUGGGGAGCGAACAGG